ACGAACGCUGGCGGCGUGCUUAACCCAUGCAAGUCGCACGGAAAGGCCCUGCUUGCCGGGUACUCGAGUGGCGAACGGGUGAGUAACACGUGGGUGAUCUGCCCUGCACUUCGGGAUAAGCCUGGGAAACUGGGUCUAAUACCGGAUAGGAGCCAUUUUUAGUGUGAUGGUUGGAAAGUUUUUUCGGUGUAGGAUGAGCUCGCGGCCUAUCAGCUUGUUGGUGGGGUAAUGGCCUACCAAGGCGGCGACGGGUAGCCGGCCUGAGAGGGUGGACGGCCACAUUGGGACUGAGAUACGGCCCAGACUCCUACGGGAGGCAGCAGUGGGGAAUAUUGCACAAUGGGCGCAAGCCUGAUGCAGCGACGCCGCGUGGGGGAUGACGGCCUUCGGGUUGUAAACUCCUUUCGCUAGGGACGAAGCUUUUUGUGACGGUACCUAGAUAAGAAGCACCGGCUAACUACGUG
rnacentral:rRNA from 1 species